rnacentral:rRNA from 1 species
CCUACGGGCGGCAGCAGUGAGGAAUAUUGGUCAAUGGGCGCGAGCCUGAACCAGCCAAGUCGCGUGAGGGAAGACGGUCCUAUGGAUUGUAAACCUCUUUUGUCGGGGAGCAAACGACGCCACGCGUGGCGUUCCGAGAGUACCCGAAGAAAAAGCAGCGGCCAACGCCGUGCCAGCAGCCGCGGUAAUCCGGAGGAUGCGAGCGUUAUCCGGAUUUAUGUGGUGUAAAGGGUGCGCAGGCGGAAGAUCAAGUCAGCGGGAAAAUUGAGAGGCUCAACCUCUGCGAGCCGUUGAAACUGGUGUUCUUGCGUGAGCGAGGAGUAUGCGCAAUGCGUGGUGUAGCGGUGAAAUGCAUAGAUAUCACGCAGAACUCCGAUUGCGAAGGCAGCAUACCGGCGCUCAACUGACGCUCAUGCACGAACGUGUGGGUAUCGAACAGGAUUAGAUACCCCAGUAGUC